rnacentral:rRNA from 1 species
UACGAAGGGUGCUAGCGUUAUUCGGAAUUAUUGGGCGUAAAGGGUGCGUAGGCGGCAUGUUAAGUCAACUGUUAAAGACCUCAGCCUAACUGGGGAUCGGCGGUAGAUACUGAUGUGCUAGAGGAUGGAAGAGAGAAGUGGAAUUCUUGGAGUAGCGGUAAAAUGCGUAGAUCUCAAGAGGAACACCGAUGGCGAAGGCAGCUUCUUGGUCCAUAUCUGACGCUGAUGCACGAAAGCAUGGGGAGCAAACAGGAUUAGAUACCCUGGUAGUCCAUGCUGUAAACGAUGAUCACUAGACGUUGGUUCUGCUCUGCAGAAUUGGUGUCGUAGCUAACGCGAUAAGUGAUCCGCCUGGGGACUACGGUCGCAAGAUUAAA